GAUGAACGCUGGCGGCGUGCUUAACACAUGCAAGUCGAACGAAGCACCUCUCCCGAAGAUUGACACAGCUUGCUGUAGAUUGAUUCAUUUGAGGUGACUGAGUGGCGGACGGGUGAGUAACGCGUGGGUAACCUGCCUCAUAGAGGGGGACAACAGUUGGAAACGACUGCUAAUACCGCAUAGUAAGAAGAAUUCGCAUGUUUUCUUCUUGAAAGAUUUAUCGCUAUGAGAUGGACCCGCGUCUGAUUAGCUAGUUGGUAAGGUAACGGCUUACCAAGGCGACGAUCAGUAGCCGGCUUGAGAGAGUGAACGGCCACAUUGGGACUGAGACACGGCCCAAACUCCUACGGGAGGCAGCAGUGGGGAAUAUUGCACAAUGGGGGAAGCCCUGAUGCAGCGACGCCGCGUGAGUGAAGAAGUAUUUCGGUAUGUAAAGCUCUAUCAGCAGGGAAGAUAAUGACGGUACCUGACUAAGAAGCCCCGGCUAACUACGUG
rnacentral:rRNA from 1 species